GAUGAACGCUGGCGGCGUGCCUAAUACAUGCAAGUCGAGCGAACAGAUGAUGAGCUUGCUCCUCUGACGUUAGCGGCGGACGGGUGAGUAACACGUGGAUAACCUACCUAUAAGACUGGGAUAACUUCGGGAAACCGGAUCUAAUACCGGAUAAUAUAUUGAACCGCAUGGUUCAAUAGUGAAUGACGGUUUUGCUGUCACUUCUAGAUGGUUCCACGCCGCAUUAGCUUGUUGGUAAGGUAACGGCUUACCAAGGCAACGAUGCGUAGCCGACCUGAGAGGGUGAUCGGACACACUGGAACUGAAACACGGUCAAGACGCCUACGGGAGGCAGCAGUAGGGAAUGGUCCGCAAGGGGCGAAAGCAUGACGGAGCAAGGGCGAGUGAGAGAUGAAGGACUUCGGAUCGUAAAACUCUGUUAUUAGGGAAGAACAAAUGUGUAAGUAAAUAUGAACGUCUUGACGGUAACUAAUCAGAAAGCCACGGCUAACUACGUG
rnacentral:rRNA from 1 species